rnacentral:rRNA from 1 species
UACAGAGGGUGCGAGCGUUGUUCGGAAUUAUUGGGCGUAAAGCGCGAGUAGGCGGUCUGUUAAGUCGCGUGUGAAAGCUCCCAGCUCAACUGGGAAAGUGCGCGCGAAACUGGUGGACUUGAGUGCUGGAGAGGGUGGCGGAAUUCCCGGUGUAGAGGUGAAAUUCGUAGAUAUCGGGAGGAACACCAGAGGCGAAGGCGGCCACCUGGAAAGACACUGACGCUGAGAAGCGAAAGCGUGGGGAGCAAACAGG